rfam:Brachypodium distachyon strain Bd21 chromosome 4, whole genome shotgun sequence.
UAUCUACUACCUCCAUUUCAUAAUUCUUGUCGAAAUCUUACAUGUAUCUAGACACUUUUUAGAAAUAGAUACAUCCAUUUUUAGACAAAUUUGAGACAAGAAUUAUGAAACGGAGGGAGUAGCAU